rnacentral:rRNA from 1 species
AUUGAACGCUGGCGGCAGGCCUAACACAUGCAAGUCGAGCGAGCGGAGGACGGGUGUGUAAUGUCUGGGAAACUGCCGGAUGGAGGGGGAUAUCUACUGGAAACGGUAGCUAAUACCGCAUACCAUCAUAUGAGCCAAGAUGGGAUUAGCUAGCCGGGGGGGUAACGGCUCACCUAGGCGAGUAUCCAUAGCUGGUCUGAGAGGAUGACCAGCCACACUGGGACGUAGACACGGUCCAUACUCCUACGGGAGGCAGCAGUGGGGAAUAUUGCACAAUGGGCGCAAGCCUGAUGCAGCCAUGCCGCGUGUGUGAAGAAGGCCUUCGGGUUGUAAAGCACUUUCAGCGGGGAGGCGUUACCCGCAGAAGAAGCACCGGCUAACUCCGUGCCAGCAGCCGCGGUAAUAC